GGAGAAGAGGGCAGACUUCAUAUUGCCAGAUUGGAAACUCCAUUUACUCUCCACUUCUUCAUUUGGCAGAGAAUUUGUGGGUGUUUUCAAAGCCUCAAGGAGAUGCAUGUGGCCAUUUCUACCUUUGAGCCAAGCUUGCACCGCUCAGGAGAAGAAUCACCACAGGAAGACCUGGUUUGGUGUUGUGCUGGACACGUAUUUUGCUCUCUUCAUCUUAGGUGAGGCUGCUCUUGAGUUGGGCAAUGGUGCCAUACCCAAGUGCCUAGACCUGGCAAGCUGCCUGCUCCUUACAGCACCUGCAAAUUCCCAGAGCAUCUGGAGGGUGAGUAAAUCACAGGGGUGUAUGGAGAUGGGGUUUCUGCACAUUACAGAGUCACAGAACAGGCUGAGUUGGAAGGCACCCACAAGGAUCAUCGAGUCCAACUCCGGCCCCUUCACAGGACCAUCCCCAACAAUCACACCCUGUGCCUGAGAUCAUUGUCUAAACACUUGAGCUCUGUCAGCCUUGGUGCUUUGACCAUUCCCUGGGGACCCUGUUCCAGUGCCCAGCCACCCUCUGGGUGGAGAACUUUUUCCUGAUAUCCAACCUAAACUUCCCCGGACACAGCUUCAGGCCAUGCCCUUGGGGCCUGUCACUGUCACCACAGAGCAGAGAUCAGUGCCUGCCCCUCCUCUGCCCCUCACAAGGAAGUUGUGACUGCAGUGAGGUCUCCC
rnacentral:lncRNA from 13 species